rnacentral:lncRNA from 1 species
UGAUGAAUUGCUACCUGGAGGCUGCAACCACCAAGGGAAGCCUGAGAAACUAUCACACCCAGGAGAAACCUACGGGCAGCUGAGGAUCCCACAGGGCGGGGCACCCUGCCAGGGAUCCGGAGCAGAGGACAGAGAUCAAGAGAAAAACUUAGGAAAGAUGAGCAGUAAUAAUCUUCAUUAAUUUCCUUAUUUUUCUUAAUCAAACCUGUUUUAAAACUAUUUGACAUCUUUUUCAAGUGAGAAACAAAGUUGAAACUGUAGCAAGUAGUGACUAAUUGGUUAAUAUCUGUAUCAUCACUCUACUGUUUCUAUGACAUCACACUAAUGGGAACCAAAUCCCAAGACCUCACUUUAGAUACGGAAUAGAAAGGUCCCAUUGAUCCUUCUCCUCCUCUUCCUCCCAAAGAGGUGUGAUCUCCCUCAAGGGUUGUACAGAGAAGCAGAUACUUCCAAGUCAAGCCAGGUUCUGAGAUUUGAAACUGCCGUCAGCUGCCCCAAGCCACAAGAUUUGUGAUGGAGUACGAAUUCCAGGAAUGCCCUCGGGCUGAGUGGAACGCCCUGUGCCUCCUAGUU